CGACCGGCGCACGGGUGAGUAACACGUAUCCAACCUGCCGUCUACUCUUGGACAGCCUUCUGAAAGGAAGAUUAAUACAAGAUGGCAUCAUGAGUCCGCAUGUUCACAUGAUUAAAGGUAUUCCGGUAGACGAUGGGGAUGCGUUCCAUUAGAUAGUAGGCGGGGUAACGGCCCACCUAGUCUUCGAUGGAUAGGGGUUCUGAGAGGAAGGUCCCCCACAUUGGAACUGAGACACGGUCCAAACUCCUACGGGAGGCAGCAGUGAGGAAUAUUGGUCAAUGGGCGCAGGCCUGAACCAGCCAAGUAGCGUGAAGGAUGACUGCCCUAUGGGUUGUAAACUUCUUUUAUAAAGGAAUAAAGUCGGGUAUGUAUACCCGUUUGCAUGUACUUUAUGAAUAAGGAUCGGCUAACUCCGUGCCAGCAGCCGCGGUAAUACGGAGGAUCCGAGCGUUAUCCGGAUUUAUUGGGUUUAAAGGGAGCGUAGAUGGAUGUUUAAGUCAGUUGUGAAAGUUUGCGGCUCAACCGUAAAAUUGCAGUUGAUACUGGAUAUCUUGAGUGCAGUUGAGGCAGGCGGAAUUCGUGGUGUAGCGGUGAAAUGCUUAGAUAUCACGAAGACUCCGAUUGCGAAGGCAGCCUGCUAAGCUGCAACUGACAUUGAGGCU
rnacentral:rRNA from 1 species